CUUAACACAUGCAAGUCGAGGGGUAACGAUGGUGCUUGCACCAGGCGACGACCGGCGCACGGGUGAGUAUAACGUAUGCAACCUGCCCCUAAUCGGAGGAUAGCCCGAAGAAAUUCGGAUUAAUACUCCAUAAUAUCUUAGAUUCGCAUGUUUCUAAGAUUAAAACUUCGGUGAUUAGGGAUGGGCAUAUGCCCCAUUAGCUUGUUGGUGAGGUAACGGCUCACCAAGGCAACGAUGGGUAGGGGGCCUGAGAGGGUGAUCCCCCACACUGGUACUGAGACACGGACCAGACUCCUACGGGAGGCAGCAGUGAGGAAUAUUGGUCAAUGGAGGAAACUCUGAACCAGCCAUGCCGCGUGCAGGAUGACUGUCCUACGGAUUGUAAACUGCUUUUCUGCAAGAAGAAACCUUUCUACGUGUAGAGAGUUGACGGUAUUGCAGGAAUAAGCAUCGGCUAACUCCGUGCCAGCAGCCGCGGUAAUACGGAGGAUGCAAGCGUUAUCCGGAUUCAUUGGGUUUAAAGGGUGCGCAGGCGGGAUAAUAAGUCAGUGGUGAAAUACUGCAGCUUAACUGUAGAAUUGCCAUUGAUACUGUUAUUCUUGAGUAUAGUUGAGGAAGGCGGAAUGAGUAAUGUAGCGGUGAGAUGCAUAGAUCUUACUCAGAACACCAAUUGCGAAGGCAGCUUUCUAAACUACUACUGACGCUGAGGCACGAAAGCGUGGGGAGCGAACAGGAUUAGAUACCCUGGUAGUCCACGCUGUAAACUAUGAUCACUCGUUGUUAGCGAUAAACUGUUAGCGACUGAGCGAAAGCGUUAAGUG
rnacentral:rRNA from 1 species